CGGGCAAUCUUCUUUUUUUUCAUCAUCAAAAAGGUAUUUUGUAUUCAAAUAUGUUUCUGUAUAAAUAUAAAGUCAUUCGUUCUCUUCAAUAGACUUUUGUCUAAAAUGAAAACAAAUAGAAAAAACAAUGUUGUACGAAUUUAAAUACAUCUACCCCUAUGAUCUAUUCAUGUCUUUUACUUCCCCGACAAGGUCCGAAUUUUGUAACUCAACC
rnacentral:lncRNA from 1 species